UUAAGCGACUAAGCGUACACGGUGGAUGCCCUGGCAGUCAGAGGCGAUGAAGGACGUGCUAAUCUGCGAAAAGCGUCGGUAAGGUGAUAUGAACCGUUACAGCCGGCGAUGUCCGAAUGGGGAAACCCAGUGCAAUUCGUUGCACUAUCGUUAACUGAAUACAUAGGUUAACGAGGCGAACCGGGGGAACUGAAACAUCUAAGUACCCCGAGGAAAAGAAAUCAACCGAGAUUCCCCCAGUAGCGGCGAGCGAACGGGGAGCAGCCCAGAGUCUGAAUCAGCUUGUGUGUUAGUGGAACGGUCUGGAAAGUCCGACGGUACAGGGUGAUAGUCCCGUACACCAAAAUGCACAGGUUGUGAACUCGAAGAGUAGGGCGGGACACGUGGUAUCCUGUCUGAAUAUGGGGGGACCAUCCUCCAAGGCUAAAUACUCCUGACUGACCGAUAGUGAACCAGUACCGUGAGGGAAAGGCGAAAAGAACCCCGGCGAGGGGAGUGAAAAAGAACCUGAAACCGUGUACGUACAAGCAGUGGGAGCACCUUCGGGUGUGACUGCGUACCUUUUGUAUAAUGGGUCAGCGACUUAUAUUCUGUAGCAAGGUUAACCGUAUAGGGGAGCCGCAGGGAAACCGAGUCUUAACUGGGCGUUAAGUUGCAGGGUAUAGACCCGAAACCCGGUGAUCUAGCCAUGGGCAGGUUGAAGGUUGGGUAACACUAACUGGAGGACCGAACCGACUAAUGUUGAAAAAUUAGCGGAUGACUUGUGGCUGGGGGUGAAAGGCCAAUCAAACCGGGAGAUAGCUGGUUCUCCCCGAAAGCUAUUUAGGUAGCGCCUCGUGAAUUCAUCUUCGGGGGUAGAGCACUGUUUCGGCUAGGGGGUCAUCCCGACUUACCAACCCGAUGCAAACUACGAAUACCGAAGAAUGUUAUCACGGGAGACACACGGCGGGUGCUAACGUCCGUCGUGAAGAGGGAAACAACCCAGACCGCCAGCUAAGGUCCCAAAGUCAUGGUUAAGUGGGAAACGAUGUGGGAAGGCACAGACAGCCAGGAUGUUGGCUUAGAAGCAGCCAUCAUUUAAAGAAAGCGUAAUAGCUCACUGGUCGAGUCGGCCUGCGCGGAAGAUGUAACGGGGCUAAACCAUGCACCGAAGCUGCGGCAGCGACGCUCAGGCGUUGUUGGGUAGGGGAGCGUUCUGUAAGCCUGCGAAGGUGACCUGUGAGGGUUGCUGGAGGUAUCAGAAGUGCGAAUGCUGACAUAAGUAACGAUAAAGCGGGUGAAAAGCCCGCUCGCCGGAAGACCAAGGGUUCCUGUCCAACGUUAAUCGGGGCAGGGUGAGUCGACCCCUAAGGCGAGGCCGAAAGGCGUAGUCGAUGGGAAACAGGUUAAUAUUCCUGUACUUGGUGUUACUGCGAAGGGGGGACGGAGAAGGCUAUGUUAGCCGGGCGACGGUUGUCCCGGUUUAAGCAUGUAGGCUGGUUAUCCAGGCAAAUCCGGAUAAUCAAGGCUGAGGUGUGAUGACGAGGCACUACGGUGCUGAAGUAACAAAUGCCCUGCUUCCAGGAAAAGCCUCUAAGCAUCAGGUAACAUCAAAUCGUACCCCAAACCGACACAGGUGGUCAGGUAGAGAAUACCAAGGCGCUUGAGAGAACUCGGGUGAAGGAACUAGGCAAAAUGGUGCCGUAACUUCGGGAGAAGGCACGCUGGUGUGUAGGUGAAGUCCCUGCGGAUGGAGCUGAGACCAGUCGAAGAUACCAGCUGGCUGCAACUGUUUAUUAAAAACACAGCACUGUGCAAACACGAAAGUGGACGUAUACGGUGUGACGCCUGCCCGGUGCCGGAAGGUUAAUUGAUGGGGUUAUCCGUAAGGAGAAGCUCUUGAUCGAAGCCCCGGUAAACGGCGGCCGUAACUAUAACGGUCCUAAGGUAGCGAAAUUCCUUGUCGGGUAAGUUCCGACCUGCACGAAUGGCGUAAUGAUGGCCAGGCUGUCUCCACCCGAGACUCAGUGAAAUUGAACUCGCUGUGAAGAUGCAGUGUACCCGCGGCAAGACGGAAAGACCCCGUGAACCUUUACUAUAGCUUGACACUGAACAUUGAGCCUUGAUGUGUAGGAUAGGUGGGAGGCUUUGAAGCGUGGACGCCAGUCUGCGUGGAGCCAACCUUGAAAUACCACCCUUUAAUGUUUGAUGUUCUAACGUGGGCCCCUAAUCGGGGUUGCGGACAGUGUCUGGUGGGUAGUUUGACUGGGGCGGUCUCCUCCCAAAGCGUAACGGAGGAGCACGAAGGUUAGCUAAUCCUGGUCGGACAUCAGGAGGUUAGUGCAAUGGCAUAAGCUAGCUUGACUGCGAGCGUGACGGCGCGAGCAGGUGCGAAAGCAGGUCAUAGUGAUCCGGUGGUUCUGAAUGGAAGGGCCAUCGCUCAACGGAUAAAAGGUACUCCGGGGAUAACAGGCUGAUACCGCCCAAGAGUUCAUAUCGACGGCGGUGUUUGGCACCUCGAUGUCGGCUCAUCACAUCCUGGGGCUGAAGUAGGUCCCAAGGGUAUGGCUGUUCGCCAUUUAAAGUGGUACGCGAGCUGGGUUUAGAACGUCGUGAGACAGUUCGGUCCCUAUCUGCCGUGGGCGCUGGAGAAUUGAGGGGGGCUGCUCCUAGUACGAGAGGACCGGAGUGGACGCAUCACUGGUGUUCGGGUUGUCAUGCCAAUGGCACUGCCCGGUAGCUAAAUGCGGAAGAGAUAAGUGCUGAAAGCAUCUAAGCACGAAACUUGCCCCGAGAUGAGUUCUCCCUGAGACUUUAAGUCUCCUGAAGGAACGUUGAAGACGACGACGUUGAUAGGCCGGGUGUGUAAGCGCAGCGAUGCGUUGAGCUAACCGGUACUAAUGAACCGUGAGGCUUAACCU
rnacentral:rRNA from 1 species